CUCCUUUGACGUUAGCGGCGGACGGGUGAGUAACACGUGGGUAACCUACCUAUAAGACUGGGAUAACUUCGGGAAACCGGAGCUAAUACCGGAUAAUAUUUCGAACCGCAUGGUUCGAUAGUGAAAGGUGGUUUUGCUAUCACUUAUAGAUGGACCCGCGCCGUAUUAGCUAGUUGGUAAGGUAACGGCUUACCAAGGCGACGAUACGUAGCCGACCUGAGAGGGUGAUCGGCCACACUGGAACUGAGACACGGUCAAGACUCCUACGGGAGGCAGCAGUU
rnacentral:rRNA from 1 species